UAUUUCUGAUUUUUUAAAAGAAGUUAUAGGACUUUGGUUCCCAGACUCAUCAAAUGACUCACAAAAUGACUCUCUAGACCCAGCGAAGAAAUCGGGCUCUGACGCAAAGUCUUCUGACCUGCAGGACGGUACAGCAGAGGGAAAUGACAAGCAGGCCUCAAACGCUCCAAGGCGUUUCUUUGAUGGCGAAGAGUCAUGCUACAUCAUCGACGCAAAUCUGGAGGGGAAUGUGGGUCGCUACCUCAAUCAUAGCUGCCACCCAAACCUGUUUGCGCAGAAUGUUUUUGUGGACACACAUGACCUUCGAUUCCCCUGUGUGGCCUUCUUCACCAGCAAGAUUGUGACCUUCUGUUAUGACUCAUGGGAUAUUAUAUAUUGCUUGUGCUAAUGGUUGGUCUUUUGAGAGGCGAAGCCAGGAUUAAUACGGGUUCUGCUCAUGUCUGUGGCUCUAUAACAAUUGCCCAGGGGGACUAAAGCAUGUGCAUUCUAAUAUGCACUUCUGUAUAUUGAUCAUAAUAUUGUCUCUGUGUUUUUCAGGCGCAUCAGAGCUGGUACAGAACUGCGGUGGGAAUAUAAAUGUGAGCUUGGUGUGAAAAGGUCGUCAAGAAUCCUAAAUUGUCACUGUGAUCAAGUGCAGGGAAAAGUUAAGAAUGCCCUUUACAUCUUCUUCCAGCUUCACCCCUGAAGUAAAUUUAGGAAUAUACUGUAGGAGAUGGUCUAGUUGUUGUAUUUUAAACCAUGCAGAGGUUUUUGUUCAUAUUACGAUUCUUAAAUUGUGCUUGAAUAAAUUAAUUCUGAAGUAUUGUCUCCUAGUUAAAUAAAAAAUAUUGAAAUGUCCUUUUCAGCAUUCCUAAUUUAUUCUGCCCCAAAUAAUAUUUUGUUAAACUAUAUUCUCACAUUUUCCUUAAAUGUUUCCAAAGAAAAUGUUUUGUAAAUGUAUUAAACCAUCAAGCAGUUGUGGAGGUCUGAACAAAGACAGUUGUGAGAGAGAAAUUACGUAUUUACCUGAUUUGUUUGAUAUUCAUAGUUAACGAUUUAUAUACUUAACAAAUAGUAAGACAUUUCUGUUCUGUUAAUGCUGUGUUUCUGUAAAGGGAUGGUUUCCACUCUAGCUUCCUCCAGUUAGUCUGGGCGUAUUGUCAAGAAAUGGGUUUUGCGAGAGAUCGCUUGAGCUGACAGUGACUUGGUGAUAACCUACAGCUGGCAUUCCAUAGACAAUAUGUGGUGUGUGUGACCCGAGAUGGAGAUAGCCUGGAAGUGUUUAGAACCAUCCCUCAUUGUCUCAUCUUCAUCCUUGCAUCUGGGAAACUAAGCCGGGUUGGGAGUAAAACAACAUCCCGUGCAGAUAACCAGGAGAUGAACCCAAGGUGGCUUGUGGUGCCCCCCACCCGAUCCGCAUGGGAGGGAUGGAACCAGCCAUGACUAAGCAAUUUUAGUGUCAGCCAUAUAAGAACUCUGCAUUGUCUGUAAAGGUUAAGCUCUCGGCAACACACCUUCGUGUGCGGUCGACUGCUUCAUUAUUGCAAUAAUUAAUAGAUAUUAAAUAAAGAUGAUUGUUUGAAGAAAUUACAAUGUGUCUCUCAGUAUACAUGAAUUUCCACGACACAGUACAGUAAGUCUUUGGUCUGGCUGCGGCUGGAAGAGUGGGGUUGUUUCAGUAGCUAUGUUUCCAUUAACUUGUCCAUUUAUUUUGUUGAAGACAUUUAGAAAGUUUGCAUAGACAACUGCCUGGUAGGAUGUGUUUCCAACAGGGUAGUGGUAAAAAUACUGCAGUCCAGACGGAUCAUAAAGUAAUAGGGCUGACUGUAAAAAUGUGCAGUGAUGAGAAGUUCCCACUGAUGGUUAUUAGAAAUUGAAUAAUGAAUUGUUAUUGCAUGAUUAAAAAUGUUUAAAGACUAUAAAUUCUGUUUAUUGGAAUUUAGCUACCUCUAACAGAGAAUAUGGGAAAUAUUGGGAACUGACAUUUUAAAUCUGUACAGCCUGUAUUACUUAUGGGGAGCAGCUUCCUUUUAAGGUGUGAGGUAACUGAGCUCUCUGAUAUCACGGAUAUUGAGCAUCUUGAUCUUAAUGAGAAGGCUAAAU
rnacentral:lncRNA from 13 species